GCUUACGGCCAUACCACCCUCAGCACGCCCGAUCUCAUCUGAUCUCGGAAGCUAAACAGGGUCGGGCCUGGUUAGUACUUGGAUGGGAGACCGCCUGGAAAUACCAGGUGCUGUAAUCU
rnacentral:rRNA from 1 species